UACGUAGGGGGCUAGCGUUGUCCGGAAUCAUUGGGCGUAAAGCGCGUGUAGGCGGCCCGGUAAGUCCGCUGUAAAAGUCCAGGGCUCAACCCUGGAACGCCGGUGGAUACUGUCGGGCUAGAGUCCGGAAGAGGCGAGUGGAAUUCCUGGUGUAGCGGUGGAAUGCGCAGAUAUCAGGAGGAACACCGAUGGCGAAGGCAGCUCGCUGGGACGGUACUGACGCUGAGGCGCGAAAGCGUGGGGAGCGAACAGG
rnacentral:rRNA from 1 species